rnacentral:rRNA from 1 species
UACAGAGGGGGCAAGCGUUGUUCGGAAUUACUGGGCGUAAAGGGCGCGUAGGCGGCCUGCUAAGUCGAACGUGAAAUCCCCGGGCUCAACCCGGGAACUGCGUCCGAUACUGGCAGGCUUGAAUUCGGGAGAGGGAUGCGGAAUUCCAGGUGUAGCGGUGAAAUGCGUAGAUAUCUGGAGGAACACCGGUGGCGAAGGCGGCAUCCUGGACCGAAAUUGACGCUGAGGCGCGAAAGCGUGGGGAGCAAACAGG